rnacentral:tRNA from 1 species
GUCCCUAUCGUCUAGAGGCCUAGGACAUCGCCCUUUCACGGCGGUAACCGGGGUUCGAAUCCCCGUUGGGACGCCA